rnacentral:lncRNA from 1 species
GGUAUCUUAGAAUCAGCUAACACUUUUUUGAUAAAAACUGGUGCUUCGAUUAUCGUUUUUCUUCCUCUAUCCUUUUAAAAUAAGUAAUAACUUAUUUUCAAGAUAUGCAAUUUAUUUCAUGAGGAUGCUUCUACUAAUCAAAAGAAAACAAACAAAAACGAAUCUUGUGAGAUAUUAUAUAUAUAGUUUAAGUGAAUUAUUAUUCAGACAUAUUUGUGCUCACCUUUUGUUAUAAAGAAUUAAUGAUGUAAUAAAUAGAAGUAUUAGUAUGUUGCAGUUUUGUGUGACAACCUUGAUGGCAAAACUAAUUGCAGGGGGGGUUCAUCAAGCUAUUAGAUAGUACGAUAGGGUGUUUUUUAUUUUUUUGUGUAUAAUAUAAAACAAAUAGACAGAAGCACUAGGACAAUGAGAGAAAUUGCAGUUAUCCCAUAUGGAUACAUCCAGGGCUGCACUGACUUGAGGCAGAACUGAGCUUGCUAAUUCCAGUAUGUCUAAAAAGGUCGAUCAUUCUGUCAUACCUAAUCAUAUCAGCAAUGAUGUGACCCCAAAUGAACCAUACUCCCCUGAUUUAUUGUAGUCUCAUGCAGUGGCAUCAUGACAUAAUGCAAUCUGUAAUGCAAUGAAAAAGGAAACAAUGGCAGUAGAGCAACUAGAUCCCAGGCUGCAGCAAGUGAGGAUUUGUCACUGCUACCUGGUGGUGUGUUUGCUAGAUGAUACCACGGAAGUCACGAGCAGCCACAAGAGGCUUCCCAAACCUGCAACAGCUCUGGUUCUUUUAAGUGCUGUAGUGCAAAUGCUAAGUCAUGGCUUGAAACAGUGAUUGAGCUCCUGGUAGGAAGGCAGGGCCCGCCUAGGGGAGCUCAGGUGCAUACAAUGAACCUGAGUGACUGCAAGGAAUGGAGUCAGGGUCCAUCCCUCCCCAGACUUCAUUUAAAGGUCAUCACUGGCAGAAUCAGAAUAUCCUGAGUUGGAAGUCAGUCACAAGACUCAUCAACUCCUGGCUCCAUGUAGGACCACCCAAAUUUCCAAUCCUGUGCCAUGACCACUGUCCUGGGAACUUCAGGGUGCAUGUUAAUUGUUUAUGGAGUCCUAACUACUGAUUAAAUAUUUUAAGAGGGAAAAUAAUGUAUUUUAAUGUAGAAUGUUCAGUGGAAUUAUCAGUUAUGCAUUAGAUAAACUGUAAGAUAGGAAGAGAUUUAUAGUUUCUUGUAUUGGCUUAAAAUAUUGGUUUUGGAAGUAAUAUACAUUUUAGGUAAAAGAACAUAGCUUCUUGGUUCAGAAUUUUAGAAAAAAAUAAAAGGAUAGGACAAUUCAUUUCACUUUCAAGAGUGAAAGACAUGCAGUAUCUUCUUUUUAGGUGUCUGAAGAUACAUGCACUAUGGCAGUUUGAACCUUUGGCUUUUCAUCAUAAAUGAUCUUACAUCUGUGGCCAGGUGGUCUGCUUUUAUGAGACUAUCAUUCCUAUUCUGUGGAGGUUCCGAAUGAAAUCUAAUGCUGUUUCCAGCCUCCGUUUUGAGGUUCCUAUCCAUUUGUCAGUCUAAGUAAUGAAGAUGCAACACAUAGGAUGUACUGUCUGAGACUGACGUCUUUAUGUCACAGAUCACUGGAGCAGCUUCAAAGAAAGUGAGUAACUUACCUAAAUAUUUCAUGAAAAAUCAUUCUGAAUUCUUCAUUUUUGCCUUCAUAUGGUCCAUCAGAUAUUUCUCAG